GACGAACGCUGGCGGCGUGCUUAACACAUGCAAGUCGAACGGAAAGGCCCUGCUUUUGUGGGGUGCUCGAGUGGCGAACGGGUGAGUAACACGUGAGUAACCUGCCCUUGACUUCGGGAUAACUUCAGGAAACUGGGGCUAAUACCGGAUAGGAGCUCCUGCUGCAUGGUGGGGGUUGGAAAGUUUCGGCGGUUGGGGAUGGACUCGCGGCUUAUCAGCUUGUUGGUGGGGUAGUGGCUUACCAAGGCUUUGACGGGUAGCCGGCCUGAGAGGGGGACCGGGCACAUUGGGACUGCGAUACGGCGCAGAAUCCUACGGGAGGCAGCAGUGGAGAAUAUGGCAGAAUGGGGGGAAGCCUGAUGCAGCAACGCCGCGUGCGGGAUGACGGCCUUCGGGGUGUAAACCGCUUUCGCCGGUGACGAGGCGGGAGUGACGGUAAUGGGUAAAGAAGCACCGGCUAACUACGUG
rnacentral:rRNA from 1 species